rnacentral:rRNA from 1 species
GAGGAACUCUGGCGGCGCGCUUAACACGUGCAAGUCGAACGACACCACACGACAGACUUGCUUCAUAGUAAUUCGGGUGACUAACGGGUGAAUAACCUGCCCCCUCCCUGCCCAUCGCAGGGCGACAGGAGGGGGAAUCGGCUAUUCCCCCGGACUACGUUCUUUCCCCCGCAUGACGGGAAGAAGAGAGGGAAGCCUUCCGCCUUUCGCUGGAGGAGGGGCUUGCUUCUGAUUAGCUGGUUGGAGGGGUAACGGCUCACCAGAGAGACGAUCAGUACCCGGUCUGAGAAGAUGAACGGCCACAUUGGGACUGAGACACGGCCCAGACUCCUACGGGAGGGAGCGGUGGGGAAUCUUCCGCAAUGGACGAGAGUCUGACGGAGCAUCGCCGCGUGAACGAUGACGGCCUUCGGGUUGUAAAGUUCUGUUAUAUGGGACGAACAGGGCAUCGGUUAAUACCCGGUGUCUUUGACGGUACCGUAAGAGAAAGCCACGGCUAACUACGUGCCAGCAGCCGCGGUAAUACGUAGGUGGCAAGCGUUGUCCGGAAUUAUUGGGCGUAAAGGGCGCGCAUACGCCAUCGCACAUCCCUGGUAUAAAAGCGGGGGUUUCC